ensembl:lncRNA
GUAACGCACGCCUCUGAUUGGCUAAAGUCGAACAGAAUACUUUUCAACAUUGAAUUUAAGAUUUCAACAAGUUUGCUCUUGAUCAGAUCAAAUGGCUCUUCCGUUGAGUGCGGAACGACAGACGUUGAUUAUCAACGACGAGCCGAAAUGACCCCAUGAUUCGAAUGUGCAGGCUUGGCUUUUCCCACGUUAACUACGCAUGAACACGCACGAUCGCCCCUCGCGAUUUUGACGUUGAAGAGAACCCCUUUCUGAAGUGUGACGUCAGUCCGUGAAUUUGACCACGUUGUGGGAAUAUGUCAACAUUAACUAUUUGAAACAAAUUGGUUGGCGAUAUUCUGAUUUUUGAGAAAGCAAGUCACUAGAAAAGAAAAAGCCCUGACUGGCAUCGAAAAGGCCUAUUGUCAGUGUGUCUUAAGUGGAGGUCGCCCACAACACGCUUUGAAUUGCAUUGCGUUCCAACAAGCGUUCCAACGGAACAAGCGGUCUUUUCUAGCAAAAGCACUAACAAGUGAUACGAAUAGGUGAACUUUUUUUUAUACUAGUCAUGAAACGAAUGUGUUAACUAAUACAUGACAAAAGAGUACCACAUGUAAAGUACUAGCCACUCACCCCGGUGGUGUGUAUUUAUGGAGGCCAAGGGAAGCCAGGAUUACCCAAGAAAAAUUUUAACAUUUUCGUAUUUCUGUGUUUCAUAAUUUUCCUUCAAUUCGAAAGAGGCUGAAUGGAUAUCACAGGAGAAAGCAUCCGAGCGAGCGAAACAGCGCCCCUCUGUCUCUCUACGUGCAGGCCAUCUAUCUGAUGCUGUCUGGUCCAAACAAGGUGGAGGCCAAGAAGAGGAGGAUGUGGAGGUACCGUCUGCCUGGCUUUGAGUUGAGGCUCCUGGAGGAACUACAGAGACAGAAGCACAACAGUCUCUACUGUGAUACCCUGUUACAGACUGAUGGAUUGUCAGUCCCGGCCCACAGCUGCAUCCUGGCUGCCCUGAGCCCCUACCUGUCCAAUGCCCUGUCCAACCAGUCAUCCCCCCUCCCGGCUGGGCAGAGAUGGCCACUCAAGCUCCAGGCUGUGAAGGCCCAGACCCUGCUGAAGCUGGUGGAUCUCCUGUACUCCGGAGAGCUGGAGGGAGAGGGCACCAUGGAACAAGAAGAGGUUAUGGCCGCUGCCUGUAAGCUGGGCAUAGGCCGCUUGGUGGAGGGGUGGAAGGACCGGGGGAGGGAGGGAGAGGGGGAGGAGGAGAGGAGGUGCAGUCUCAGAGAUGUGGGGGUGCAGACGGAGGGAGGAGAGACACAGGUGGGGGCAUUGGUGGAGAUGGGGACACAGACUGUGGACUGUAAUGGAGGUAUUUACAUGACUUUCCUCAGUCCUCUCCCUGAUGCUCUCCCUACACCCCUCCUACUAGUCCAGAGCAGCAGUGAAGGCCAGCAGCACACAACUCACACGGCACUCCCUUUCCUGAGUCCCCAGAUUAUGACCCCCACUUCACACCCCAGUUCCACUCCACCCAGCGUCAAAGCACCGGUCAACUGUGGAACAGCUCCCUUUAGAACCCACCCUCAGACCUCCGAACCGGAGGUCACAAACCUCUCAUCGUCCUCUGUUGUCCUGAGCGGUGACAUGGUCACCCAGGGUGACGAUUCGGACCACCCCACAACACCCCGGGAGGAAAGUGCCGUCCCAGAAUGCUCUGUGGCGGAGAACGUUGUGACGGAGAGGAGGAUGGAGAAGAAGAGGGAGCAGCAGCUGACAUCACACACUGGGAGAGCAGAGGAAGGAGGAACAGGGGAGUGUCUGGAGAGGAGAGGUGUGGUUGGGAGGAAGUGGCUGAGCGGACAGAGGCUGGAGAACACUCAGAUCUCCAUCAAGGUCAAGCUGAGGAGGAGGACCAGGGGACAGCUGUGGGAGCUGGUCAGUGGGCAGGAGACGGACGGAACCAUCUCACCUGGUCAGGGGCAGGAGACAGACGGAACCGUCUCACCUGGUCAGGGGCAGGAGACAGACGGAACCGUCUCACCUGGUCAGGGGCAGGAGACAGACGGAACCGUCUCACCUGGUCAGGGGCAGGAGACAGACGGAACCGUCUCACCUGGUCAGGGGCAGGAGACAGACGGAACCAUCUCACCAGGUCAGAGGCAGGAGAGGGACGGAACCAUCUCACCUGGUCGGAGGCAGUUGGUCCUCGCUGCUCUGAAGAAGGAAACGCAUGAUCGCAUGAGGACAAGACAACUACCACGCCAGCCUCUCCCCCCGCCCCAGUCCCCAGCCCUCCCCUGGUGCUCUAACCUCGACACAGCUUUCCUCACCCCUCCACCCCGAUCCCGCCCCCAACUCACCUCCAAAACCACCACCACCCAGUCAACCUCCCUCAAACACUGCAGCUCCACCCAACAACCGACUCCACACCCAACACAUGAACCACAGCUCGCCUUGCCCCAGCCUCCGGUAGAGGAUUCGGAUGAGCAGAUUGAGAAGAUGCUGGAAGACAUCAUGAUGGGGUUGAACAUACUGCCCCCUGUGGUUCUGGAUAGGGACUGCGACCAACGCCACCAUCUCCAAAGCCACGACAGACCGUCGGCCUGCUCCUGCUCGCAUCAUCCCGUCCACGCAAGGCACGGCGCAGUUGGCUCGGCUUCUCGUUGCGUGUGUUCCCAUGUUCCAAUGACAGGAAGUGAUGAUGCGUCGUCAACUGAAACAGCCUUCCACUCCAUCACCUCCUCCCAUUUCGUCACCACGACAACCUCCUGCACAGUCACCCCUGACCUUUACCUGGACCCACAACCUCUGACCCCUCACCAAUGUUCCACCUAUCACCCCUCCACCCCCCUCUCUCAUCCUCACCCCCACUUCUCCUGUAAUGAUUACUCCUCUGACUGGGCCUCCUAUUGUUCAGGUGUCCAGUGCUCCUCUGAGAACGCCAAGAACCACCAGGAACUCCUGAUCCGGUUCCAGAACUCUCAAAACCAGGAACUCCAGAACUCCAAGAGCCUGGUGUUUGGAUGUGGUGGCAGCAGCAGCAUCAUGCCAGUCCACUCAGGCUCUUCACCAAGGCCUCCCCACCAGUCCCUUCCUCAGAGCCAGGCCUCUCUACUUUACGCAGGGGAAGAGGACCGAGAUCCAGGGUUCUGGGAGGGUUCUGCCCAGACGGGCGUUCCGUCGACAUACAGAGACCAUGUUUGUAAUCUGUCCUCUGCGGAUUGUCUGUCGUCCAAUGGAGACACUACUCCAAGUCAUGUGAAUGGAGACACUACUCCAAGUCAAGUGAAUGGAGGGACCAUCCCAAGUCAUAUGAAUAGAGAGGCCAUUCCAAGUCAGAGUCCGAGUCAGGCCAGUACGAAUCAGGAAGUUCCACAAGAAGAGGGACCUUCGGUCACCCCCGGUUUCCUACCCCCCUCUGAAACUGAUGCUUCUGAACCACAACAUCCAGCAUGCCCACCAGAUGCCUCUCCCUGGAGAGGACUACAUUUCCCAGAACUCCUUUCACUGCUGUCUCCAGGAAGUGAAACCCAGCCUUCCCAAUCUCCUCCUCCACAAUGGGAAGAGCUACGCCUGCCAAAAUGUCUCUCACCCUUAAAUUCACCAGAAUCCUUACCCCCACCAUCUCCGGCGAAACCCUUCCUUAAAUCCCCAUUCCGGCAUCCUGUAACUCCAUUCCAUAGAAUCCCUCAGCUGUCAAAGCUACCACCUUGGCUCUGCUGCACUCCGAGAAGACUACAGUUUCCACUGAGCUCCAUGAUCCACUCUCCACGCUCCCCAGGAAAUCUGUGUGAAUCUAAAAAAUUCCUUGGGCUGCCGUGGGAAUCCAACAACAACUCCGAGCAGAUGACUGAUGGUCAAUACAAGGCUAGCAUUAGCAACAACUCCGAGCAGAUGACUAAUGGUCAAUACAAGGCUAGCAUUAGCAACAACUCCGAGCAGAUGACUGAUGGUCAAUACAAGGCUAGCAUUAGCAACAACUCCGAGCAGAUGACUGAUGGUCAAUACAAGGCUAGCAUUAGCAACAACUCCGAGCAGAUGACUGAUGGUCAAUACAAGGCUAGCAUUAGCAACAACUCCGAGCAGAUGACUGAUGGUCAAUACAAGGCUAGCAUUAGCAACAACUCCGAGCAGAUGACUGAUGGUCAAUACAAGGCUAGCAUUAGCAACAACUCCGAGCAGAUGACUGAUGGUCAAUACAAGGCUAGCAUUAGCAACAACUCCGAGCAGAUGACUGAUGGUCAAUACAAGGCUAGCAUUAGCAACAACGCAAGACUGACCGGAAAAGAGGACGAGGAGGAGAGGAAAAGGAAGAAGGUCGCGACCACCACUACGGGGCGAAGGCUUGAGAAAGCAAAGGCGAAGAUAAGAGAGGGAGAUGAAACCUGGAAGCCCCACAGUAACAGGAAGAGAAUCCGUGUGAGGAGAAAGGAGGGUUUGGAGCCGGAGCAGGGGCGAAGGACUGAGACCCCAAAAGCAAAGACAGAGAGGAGACAGGAGGAUGAAACCUGGAGUCAACACAGGAAGAGAAUCCGUGUCAGGAGAACAGAGGGUUUGAAAGCGGAGCAGGAACAAUCAGAGGACAGUGAGACCCCAGAGCCUCCUCGGAAAAAGAGGAAACGUAACGCCUCUACAAAGAUAGAAGAUAGUCCUUUAGUGAGGACUGAAAGGGUGAAACUCAACGACAGAACGAAGACUGAGAACGGACAAGUGAAAAUAAGCCUCUGCUCUGUCAGUCUGUCAACCAACAAUGUCUUAGCGAGCGAAAGAUUAGGACGGUACCUUUCCAACACCUCCACAAAGUCUUUGUCCAGCCUUGGGGAGGAAGCCAACCCACCUCCAGAAGGAAGGGAAACGGGGAACCCAGUAAGGGUGCUCCGAGCCAGGGAUCGAGAUGUGAAAUGCCCUCCUAACGUUUGGACCGCAACCGGGAGCUGCUCCCCAGUAAAACUUCACCAAGAAGACAAGCAGUCCAACAUGUCUUCUGAAACUCCCAGUCCCUCCUUCUCCGGGUUUCAAGCUCUGGCCAAAGCAGUUGGACUGCUCCAAAUCCCACCAACACCACCCCCGAAACGGAAACGUGGUAGACCCCCCGGUAAGAUACGACCAGGAAAAAAACAGGUUUCCCAGGCUGGUGGUUUAUUCCCCACCAGUGCCAUGACAACGGGCAUCCAUGACGCAGAAGCUGUUGAGCACAAAAAGGAAAGAGGAGAAGGAGAACCUCAGGGAAAGGAAAGAGGAGAACCGCGGGGAAAGAAAAGAGGAGAACCGCGGGGAAAGAAAGGAGGAGGAGGAGAACCGCAGAGAAAGGGAGGAGGAGGAGAACCGCAGAGAAAGAAAAGAGGAGAACCACGGGGAAAGAAAGGAGGAGGAGAACCGCAGAGAAAGAAAAGAGGAGAAUCGCAUAGAACGAAAAGAGAAGGAGAACCUCAGAGAGGGAAAAAAGGAGAAGGAGUACCGCAGAGAAAGAAAAGAGAAGAACCGCAGAGAAAGAAAAAUGGAAGAGAACCACAGGGAAAGGAGAAAGGAGGAGGAGAACCUCAGGGAAAGGAGAAAGGAGGAGACCCACAGGUAAAGGAAAAAGGAGGAGACCCACAGGUAAAGGAAAAAGGAGGAGACCCACAGGUAAAGGAGAACGGAGGAGGGGAACCACAGGUAAAGGAGAACGGAGGAGGGGAACCACAGGGAAAGGAGAAAGGAGGAGACCCACAGGUAAAGGAGAACGGAGGAGGGGAACCACAGGGAAAGGAGAACAGAGGAGGGGAACCACAGGGAAAGGAGAAAGGAGGAGGAGAACCUCAGGGAAAGGAGAAAGGAGGAGACCCACAGGUAAAGGAGAACGGAGGAGGGGAACCACAGGGAAAGGAGAACAGAGGAGGGGAACCACAGGGAAAGGACGACAAGCGAAAGAAGUGCAGGAAAAGGGUGAGGCUCAGGGAGGGACAUGGCAAAGGAGAGAGAGCAGAGUUGUUCCAGAGACUACCUGAGCUGUCUAAAUCUAAAACAGUUGCUCAAAAGCCUAGCUCGCAGACAACUUUCCCCAGUACCCAUGAAGAGCAUGUUCCUACCAACUGUUCAGGGAUUGGAACCGGAACCAUUCUGCAACCCCAGCCGUCGGGUCAGCCACAGAACUCCAGUCCAAAAAGAUCUGGAGAGACUGAAUCAGACAGAGACCCAUUGAGACCCCCUGCUGUCAAGCGGACCCCCUCCAAGGGUCGGGCACCCACUGUGUGUCUCAAGAAGUUCCAAGAACUCCUGAAGCACAGGCACCAAAAGACGAGGAAGUCCACCAAAAGCAAGGAGACAAAAGAAAGUGAAAGAAAAUUAUUGAAACCCAAUGAAAGUGACAACGGUCAAAAUGAAUCAAGACUGAUGAACAAAAACACAAGUUCCUCCCAGUCUCUAGAAAGGGAGUCGGCCAUUAGACCAACCGUUGAUAAUGACCAUCAGACCAGCCGAACAGAGAGCGACCAGCCAGAGGAAAAAGAUGGAGGACACGACAGCAGCACUUGUGGACAGGAGACGGAGUAUCAAGAACAGAUCUACGAAGAGACUGAAAGAGAGAACGUUGAGGAUGGAGAACAUUUUGAGUACACAGAAAAAGUUUUAGACGGGGAAAACGUGGAUGCGUCAGGAGACUUUUUCAAACUCCGAGAGGAGCUGGCUACCUUAUCGAUGACAAGGACAAAGGACAUUGUGGAUCCUCAUCUGAGCGACAAAGGCAACAAGGAAGGAAGAGAUCUGGUUUCCAAGGAGAACAGAGCGAGGGAAACAGACUCGUCUUCAGAGACAAAACAGAAGACCGAAAAGGGGAAAGGAUCCGUGGUGGAGGCGUAUAGGAGAAGUGUGAUCAUCCAAGAGGUGGAGGAGAAAAUGGAGGAUGGAUAUUUGGAGAUGGAGAUCUCCAGCGAGGAGUUGGAUGUGGUUGAUGAGGUCCAGCAGACGUUGGGCUACGCCGGGGCUGAGGAAGUGAGUGGGGAAGAGGAGGAGAUAGAUGUAGAGGAGAUGGGUCCAACGAUGUAUCCUGAUGCAGCUUGGCAGGAGGUUCCCGGCGCCAGAGACGUGGACCAAGUGAGUUCCACCAUGGCCAGCUUCAGAGGCAUCACCCACAACCACAUCCACCUCCCUCAGAAAAUCAAAAUGGCGACCGCUGCCCCCGAGAUGGCCGACGUGAGUAUUCCGACCCCUCUGGAGGCAGAGCCUUCCACGCUGACAUCACGAAGGGUCACCACGGGGUCAACAGGAAGCUGGGAGCCAGAGGAGGAAGAGGAUGUGGAGGUGGACGUUCUUGAGUGGUCGCCGGAUGUGCGACCAAGAGUGUGGGGAGCGGGCCUUGAGCAAGGCGUCACAGAACUGACCGAGGAAGACGAGAUAGACGUGAUGGGAGAGGAAACGGACUGA